rnacentral:misc_RNA from 1 species
GAUGAAGAACGCAGCGAAAUGCGAUAAGUAAUGUGAAUUGCAGAAUUCAGUGAAUCAUCGAAUCUUAGAACGCACAUUGCGCCCCCUGGUAUUCCGGGGGGCAUGCCUGUUCGAGCGUCAUUUCACCACUCAAGCCUCGCUUGGUAUUGGGCAACGCGGUCCGCCGCGUGCCUCAAAUCGACCGGCUGGGUCUUCUGUCCCCUAAGCGUUGUGGAAACUAUUCGCUAAAGGGUGUUCGGGAGGCUACGCCGUAAAACAACCCCAUUUCUAAGGUUGACCUCGGAUCAGGUAGGGAUACCCGCUGAACUUAAGCAUAUCAAUAAGCGGAGGA